UUUGAGGACCUCCAGCUUGACCACCCUACCGGUGAAGGGGAGACUCGGCUGGGUUUAGCUCUGAAGACUCCGUGCCUAUGGCGGAAGGAGCUCAUCAACCUUCCGAACUGGACGGCUCCGGCGAGUAAGGGCACUCCGCAUCCUCCUCCGGCGAGUGAUCAGGGCACUCAGCCUCCUUCUCCGGCGCGUGGCGGCACUCCGCCUCCUCCUCCGGCGAGUGAUCAGGGCACUCAGCCUCCUUCUCUGGCGCGUGGCGGCACUCCGCCUCCUUCUCCGCCUGCGCCGGCGCGCCAGAGCAGCCAGCCUCCUCCUUCUCCGCCUUGUCAGCAAGGGCGGAAGAGACCCGCCGCCGCUGCGGCUGCUCCGGCGCGUCGUAGUCCUUCUCCUCCGCCUCGUAAGCAAGGAAAGAAGACAGCCGCAGCCGCUCCGUCUGCUCUGGCGGCGUCUAGCAGUACAGCUGCUAGAGGCGGGAGGCAAUACAGAUUCGGUCCUUCUUUGAAGACUCCAGAGAAGUUACCAUAG
rnacentral:rRNA from 1 species